rnacentral:tRNA from 1 species
UCCAAUGGAUUUACAUCUUUCAUUAAUGAAAUUUUUUGAUGUAGUGAGUAAUAGGCUCUGGUUGUUCGCUGUUCAAGAA